rnacentral:rRNA from 1 species
UACGUAGGGGGCAAGCGUUGUCCGGAUUUAUUGGGCGUAAAGAGCGUGUAGGCGGCUUGGUACGUCCGCUGUGAAAACUCGAGGCUCAACCUCGAGACGCCGGUGGAAACCAUCAGGCUAGAGUCCGGAAGAGGAGAGUGGAAUUCCUGGUGUAGCGGUGAAAUGCGCAGAUAUCAGGAAGAACACCCGUGGCUAAGGCGGCUCUCUAGUAAGGUACUGACGCUGAGGUGCGAAAGCGUGGGGAGCAAACAGG